GACGAACGCUGGCGGCGUGCUUAACACGUGCAAGUCGAACGGAAAGGCCCUGCUUUUGUGGGGUGCUCGAGUGGCGAACGGGUGAGUAACACGUGAGUAACCUGCCCUUGACUUUGGGAUAACUUCAGGAAACUGGGGCUAAUACCGGAUAGGAGCUCCUGCUGCAUGGUGGGGGUUGGAAAGUUUCGGCGGUUGGGGAUGGACUCGCGGCUUAUCAGCUUGUUGGUGGGGUAGUGGCUUACCAAGGCUUUGACGGGUAGCCGGCCUGAGAGGGUGACCGGCCACAUUGGGACUGCGAUACGGCCCAGACUCCUACGGGAGGCAGCAGUGGGGAAUAUUGCACAAUGGGCGGAAGCCUGAUGCAGCAACGCCGCGUGCGGGAUGACGGCCUUCGGGUUGUAAACCGCUUUCGCCUGUGACGAAGCGUGAGUGGCGGUAAUGGGUAAAGAAGCACCGGCUAACUACGUG
rnacentral:rRNA from 1 species